GACGAACGCUGGCGGCGUGCCUAAUACAUGCAAGUAGAACGCACAGUUUAUACCGUAGCUUGCUACACCAUAGACGGUGAGUUGCGAACGGGUGAGUAACGCGUAGGUAACCUGCCUGGUAGCGGGGGAUAACUAUUGGAAACGAUAGCUAAUACCGCAUAAUAUUGAUUAUUGCAUGAUAAUUGAUUGAAAGAUGCUAUUGCAUCACUACCAGAUGGACCUGCGUUGUACUAGCUAGUAGGUGAGGUAACGGCGCACCUAGGCGACGAUACAUAGCCGACCUGGGAGGGUGUUCGGCCCCACUGGGACUGAGACACGGCCCAGACUCCUACGGGAGGCAGCAGUAGGGAAUCUUCGGCAAUGGACGAAAGUCUGACCGAGCAACGCCGCGUGAGUGGAGAAGGUUUUCGGAUCGUAAAGCUCUGUUGUAAGGGAAGAACGGGUGUGAGAGUGGAAAGUUCACACUGUGACGGUAUCUUACCAGAAAGGGACGGCUAACUACGUG
rnacentral:rRNA from 1 species